rnacentral:lncRNA from 1 species
UGAUAAAAUCUGCACCAGAAAUGUGAAGACGGCAACAUCAAGUGUAUUAACCAAUCUUUGUGAAAUUAGAAGGCAACACAUCAACAAACAUGUCAUGAUUCCGUAGUUCAUAGUACGACGGUAAUAUCAUGAAACUUUGCGACCAGUACUCAUGGCAAUACACAUAAAUCUACCAUGAAGAACAUAACUAGAGUUGCAACCCAAAUAUUAUUUACAGCCCAAGGUAUAACUGAUUAACAGGUACACAUAUAUUGCAGAAACAUAUUCAACUAGGUGUACAAGUUGUAGCAGAAAUCCACACCAAUGGAAGUUUACAUAUCACAUAAACGAAGAAAUUUCUCAUCCAAUCUCUAACGCAGAGUAAAGGAUGCCAUCCCCAUGGGUUGGGUUGUGCUGCAAAAUAUCAAACAACUUCAAGUCAAAAAAUUGCUAAAAUACUCGACAUGUUUUAAUCGACGAGUAGCAAAAUGUGAAAACCAUUUGAGCCGUGAUGGCCGACUUCGUAAAUAGAGCAAUAUAUUGAUGUUGGACAUUCGUGGACGCUACUUGCUCUGCAAACAAGAAAAACACAUUAGGAAAACCUGACAACAGACAUACUAUAUUCAAAUUAUGGUUGGGAAUGUCAUUCCGGUGAAGGAUUCAAAUUCUUGAACUUUAUUUUGCUCGUCAAAUGGCCCCAUCUGCCUCAAGUGUGCAAGAGCAUCACCAAUAACUUGUGAAAGUAUUUCAUCUUGUCAUCACAAUGUUUAGUUGCAUGCAGUGCCAAGCUGAACUGGCAUUAUGUCAUGACAUAUAGCACCAAAAUGCUAAAUCUGUAGGAAUGUAGUGCCAUCUUUUUACACCUGAAUAAGGAAGGCCAACUCAGGAUCAACCAAAGCAGACAUUGGAAUACAUAGACAAGUUGAAGAAAAUGAAGUGCAAACAAACAUCUCUGAUUCUAUAGCUGGCAAACAAGCCACUCCCCAAUUACAAGCAGAGGCUAUGGCCCUUCAGGUUGCUGCAUAAAUAAUUUUGAAAUCCAUAUGCAAGCAGGUCAUUUUUCUGGUAGAUAAUCUGUCACUGGCCAAGGUAGCAGCGCCAAGAAACAUUAUUCCCUGGGCAUUGGGAGAUCAGAAACCAGCUAGCAAUUUUCUUUGCUACAACAGGAAACACGCAAAUACAAAUUUAUCACAUACCAAGGAACUUUAACUUUGUCGCUCACAACCGUGCUUCAGAGGUAAGUAUAUUAUGAGGUAGAGAGCAAAAAAAUUGGCAUGUUGUAGGUUAGCACGUAGAGGUGAUCAGUGUCCAUGCUUUCAAAGCUAGGCAAUCCUGAUGUUAAGGUUGACCGCAAAAAAAAAAAAAAUCCUGAUGUUAAGGAUUGUCAAAUCCUGAAGUAAAAUGUGCUUGAUAGUGAAUAUAAGGCGCUGUUGGUGCUGCCUCUUGUGAUCUUGUCCAAAAACAGAAGGAAGAUCAAAGAGAUAAUACAUUUAAUUAACUAAACCAAGAAUGCCGUACUACUAGUUUCAGUAGAAAUACUGAACAAACAUAUACGGAGCUCUAAAAAAUUAGUGAGGCACAUAUUGCUAAUGUUAAUGGAUCUCGGUCUUGUGCCAACAAGCACUUCAUCAGGUACUUGAACAGGUAGAUAAAUUUACUUUGUACUCGUCUCAGACCAUAUGUCGUUGACAUUUUAUAUACCUAAUUGCUCGAUAGGUAGUCUAAGAAAAAUACAACAAGUUGGUUCUGUGAUUACUUUUCCUGCACCUUCAUACAGAGAGAUAUCAACACAUUUAAAUCUAAUAGCAUUAGCUACAUGCCUACAUCCCACACAUUCAGCAUAAAGGGGAGUAGGGGACGAUGGAUUAGAACCAAAACACACGGUAAAAUACACAAGGUUGUAACAUUCAAAAGGUUACCUGAAGGCUGGAGUUCUCUUCUUUGUCGUCGGCAGAUGGUGGAGCUAGGCGUCGGCGGGCGGAUCUGGCGCCAGGUGUGGGGAUUGGGUGGCGCCAAGGUGGAGAAUGGCGGCGCGGGGAUGGGGCGGGCUGUGCGCUGGAAGUCGGGGCACUGUACGUCAUUACCGUGGCGAGGUCGAUCGCCGGAGGGCCCAGUGCAGCGCACGGCGAGGUCCGCCGCCGGAGCCCUGAAUACCUAUAUAUCUGCUCGUGUCCAAAAUCGGGAGCACUGUUGGAGAAGCAUUGCAG